rnacentral:rRNA from 1 species
ACUCCUACGGGAGGCAGCAGUGGGGAAUAUUGGACAAUGGGCGCAAGCCUGGUCCAGCCAUACCGCGUGGGUGAAGAAGGCCUUCGGGUUGUAAAGCCCUUUUGUUGGGAAAGAAAAGCGCCUGGUUAAUACCUGGGUGUUCUGACGGUACCCAAAGAAUAAGCACCGGCUAACUUCGUGCCAGCAGCCGCGGUAAUACGAAGGGUGCAAGCGUUACUCGGAAUUACUGGGCGUAAAGCGUGCGUAGGUGGUGGUUUAAGUCUGCUGUGAAAGCCCUGGGCUCAACCUGGGAAUUGCAGUGGAUACUGGGUCACUAGAGUGUGGUAGAGGGAUGCGGAAUUUCUGGUGUAGCAGUGAAAUGCGUAGAGAUCAGAAGGAACAUCCGUGGCGAAGGCGGCAUCCUGGGCCAACACUGACACUGAGGCACGAAAGCGUGGGGAGCAAACAGGAUUAGAUACCCUGGUAGUC